rnacentral:ncRNA from 12 species
AACGCUAGAGGAUAGAACAGGCAGCUAUCGCCCAUCGUUAGGAGAUGCGGGAACCGUCACCCCGCCUAGCUUU